UCCUCCCUCCCUUUUUCUUCUCCUUCUCUGCCUUUCCCAUUCUCUCUCUCUCUCUCUCUCUCUCUCUCUCUCUCUCCUCAGCAACCCACAUCAUCAUGUUUGGCUUUAAAAACAGAGGGAGAUAAGUCACGGCAGAGUUCAGCCGAGUUCUAUUCCAGAUUUGUAUUUGUCAAUAUUGACCCUGGGUGGCUUUUGAAGAUUUCAGGCUGGCAUUUUCCCAGCCCUGUUUGAAAAUGGUAGGAAUCUGCCUCCACGUUUUGCCUGCUAACAGAUGUUCAGUCAUUAAGCUGGAGCCCAUGAAAAGCAGAGCCUGUCUUUUAGCGCUCUGCGCUAAUUAAGCCAGAGGAAGAUUUGUAGGGACUCUGAAGAACGUGGCAAGGGAAUUUGAAGGAUAAAGCUUUGGACUGGAUGUGUCAUUCAUCCUUUGUUCUGGUGCGUGUAAUAUCAAAUUCUAGGUUGAUUCUCUCCUUGGUUAGUUUCCAUCCGUUGCUUCUUGUCCUGCCUUCGGGUGCUUUGGAGAAUACGUUGACCUCCUCUUCUUGGUGGCAGCCCCUCAAAGACCAGAAUACAAAAACAAAACAAAACAGAGCUGUUCUGGAGAAGAUUGAUGCUCCUUGGACUUUAAGGAGUGGAUUCUUUGAUGAAUAGCAAAGAGCAACAUGAUCACGGGACUGGAAAUUAAUGGGAUGCCUGGAGAGGAUCCCAGGACCACAGACGUCCUCUCCCCAGAUUAUCAUGCAUGGAUCUAGCUCUUCAUAUGUCCUACAACUUUGAAGCAGGUGGCAUCUCAAUGGCUUUGCUAUAGCAGGAUCUCUGUGGUGGUAUGGAGGCACUUCCAAACAACGCAUCUCUAAUUCAGCUUCCCAAAGCAGAUCUGCUCUCAUCAUCCUUAGCAGGUCAUCCCGGUCAACUUUCUUCCCAACUAUUGCUUCUUGCAGCCUUCCAUCGCCGGCGGAUUUUUGAGGUUUCCGCUUUUCUUGGAAGAAAAUGGACAAGAUGCCUGACUUUGGACACAAGCAAAUAAACAGUUACCUUUUUUCUAUGAUUAA